ACUACAAGCCGGGUUGUCGCUUAUGCAGUAAUGCAUGAGAGGAAAGUCCGGACAGCGCAGAGCAACGCACCACCUAACGGGUGGGAGCCCGGGCAACCGGGUUACAGAGAGUGCCACAGAAAAUAACCGCCUUCAAGACUGGGGGUAAGGGUGAAAAUGUAGUGUAAGAGCCUACACUUUGCAAUGGCAACAUUGCAUUGGGGUAAACCUUGCGUGCUGAAAUGCCAAAUAGGCGGACGAUUGAGGGCGGCUCGCCCGAUGUUCGUGGGUUGGCAGAAAGAGGUGUUGUGCGAGCAGCAUCCCAGAUAAAUGAUAACCGUCCCGGGACCAUCCGGGAUAACAGAAUCCGGCUUACAGGUUUGUAGUUGUU
rnacentral:RNase_P_RNA from 2 species